CAGGAAAGGCUCUGGGAGAGUGAGGAAAAACUUUAAAUGGGCCAUAGCCUGAAGAUAUUAUACUCUCCCUGGCUGACAGCCUCGGCCUGGAGACCAGCCAGGGAGGACGAGAAUGGGGCCCUUGGGGUCCGAAGAUAUUAACAAAAUAAAUAACUCCGACCGCAGCGCCCCCUUCCACUCCCCUCAGCACAUUCCGCGGAGGAGCCGGCAGCACCCUUCCUCUCCCGCUGCCUCCUGAGGUAAAUCAGACGCACCGCGUCUGCUUUGUAUUAUUAAAAGAGGGAAAUGAAAAAAAACAAUGUAAACACUCUUACAAUUGCUGCGGAAACUGGAUCUAACCAGGUUAUUCAAAGGGAAAAAACGAAGCUAUCCGUAUAUGCCAAGUUUGCUGAGACAUCUGUUAAUUGUAAGGGGAUGAUUUUAAAUAAAGACAAGUCAUGGUUUAGGGCCUGGUUCAGCAAAGCCUGAAAAUGUGCACUUCACAAAACCAGGAAUCUGCCCCUUUUCAAUGAAGCCCUCGCACAUGUUGGUGCUCAUGGAAAUAAAACGUUGUUUUUCAGGCCUGUGCCGCGGGAGGGGAGCCAGCUUCCACCUCGGGGCUGGAGCUCCACAGACUGUUCUGGGAGGCUGCGAGGGCACCCCUGCUCCGCCCUUAGCCAAGAAAUUAUUAUUCUAGUUGUCAGUGUUAUCCUGUCGGCAUUAUACGAAACAAAGAUGAGGCUGCAACUGCUUUUUCUGAGGAGGCCAGUGUGAGCUAUGAGAAUGUCUACUGGAUUACACCCGAGGGAUGACUGCCUGAUUCCUGAGGGACUCUGGUGUAAAAUCUGCAGAAACAAAUGUGAGAAGCCCUUGCAGACGCCGAAAUACUGUCCCUCUCAAGAUACGGAAAUACAGGACUGCUCUUCUCUCUACUGGUUGAAAACCUUUAUAUUCUGAUGGUAGCAAGAAUCGCCCUGUCUCUUUCGACCAAGUCUGCCAGCUUAUCCAAAAGAUGGCCCCUUUCCGAUGCAUCCAUUCUCCUCCACACUGAACCUAGAGAAAAAGCAAGGCGAGCUGCCCUCACUGCUUUGUCCGUAUCAACCUGUCAAGAAGGAAGAAAAAAACCAAAGGCACUGAGGUGGGAAAGUGGAUCCUGGAUAAAAGUCUUGCCCAAGACAAGACUCCAAGCUGAAGACUCCAGUUAUCUAUAAAUCACUUGUAUUUCCUGCAGAGAAAGA